rnacentral:rRNA from 1 species
AUUGAACGCUGGCGGCAGGCCAACACAUGCAAGUCGAGCGGAUGAAGGGAGCUUGCUCCUGGAUUCAGCGGCGGACGGGUGAGUAAUGCCUAGGAAUCUGCCUGGUAGUGGGGGAUAACGUCCGGAAACGGGCGCUAAUACCGCAUACGUCCUGAGGGAGAAAGUGGGGGAUCUUCGGACCUCACGCUAUCCGAUGAGCCUAGGUCGGAUUAGCUAGUUGGUGGGGUAAAGGCCUACCAAGGCGACGAUCCGUAACUGGUCUGAGAGGAUGAUCAGUCACACUGGAACUGAGACACGGUCCAGACUCCUACGGGAGGCAGCAGUGGGGAAUAUUGGACAAUGGGCGAAAGCCUGAUCCAGCCAUGCCGCGUGUGUGAAGAAGGUCUUCGGAUUGUAAAGCACUUUAAGUUGGGAGGAAGGGCAGUAAGUUAAUACCUUGCUGUUUUGACGUUACCAACAGAAUAAGCACCGGCUAACUUCGUG